rnacentral:rRNA from 1 species
UACGUAGGGGGCAAGCGUUGUCCGGAAUUAUUGGGCGUAAAGAGCGUGUAGGCGGCCAGAUAAGUCCGCUGUGAAAUCUCGAGGCUCAACUUCGAGCUGUCGGUGGAAACUAUUUGGCUAGAGUCCGGAAGAGGAGAAUGGAAUUCCCGGUGUAGCGGUGAAAUGCGCAGAUAUCGGGAGGAACACCAGCGGCGAAGGCGGCACUCUGGGCUGGAACUGACGCUGAGGAGCGAAAGCGUGGGUAGCAAACAGG